UACGUAGGGUGCGAGCGUUGUCCGGAAUUACUGGGCGUAAAGAGCUCGUAGGUGGUUUGUCGCGUCGUCUGUGAAAUUCCGGGGCUUAACUUCGGGCGUGCAGGCGAUACGGGCAAUACUUGAGUGCUGUAGGGGAGACUGGAAUUCCUGGUGUAGCGGUGAAAUGCGCAGAUAUCAGGAGGAACACCGGUGGCGAAGGCGGGUCUCUGGGCAGUAACUGACGCUGAGGAGCGAAAGCAUGGGUAGCGAACAGGAUUAGAUACCCG
rnacentral:rRNA from 1 species